rnacentral:rRNA from 1 species
UCAUAGAAUUUCUUUAAAUUCAUGAUGUCGUAAGGGAAAAUAAUGAUAAUACCUUACUAUGAGUGUCGUCCAAAUCUGGUGCCAGAAGACUCGGUAAGACCAGAGACGCAAACGUUAAUCAUCAUAAACAGGCGUAAAGGGUUUGUAGGCAGCUUUUAUAAAAUUGUCUAAGGUAAUUUAAUUGAAAGCUAGAAUCAAAAAGAGGUUAUAGUGUAUAACGCCUAGAGGAGGGCUGAUAUCCGUAGAUCCUAGGCAGAAUACUCAGGGCGAAGGCCACUCUCCACUAAUGAUUGACGCUGAGAAACGAAGGUUAGGGUAGGAAAUAGGAUUAGAUACCCCGGUACUCCUUUCUGUAAACGAUGAAUGGUAGUCAUUAGUUUAAUUAAAAUAACUAGAGGCGAAGUUAACACAAUAACCAUUCCGCCUUGUGAGUACUACUGCAAAGUAGAAAACAAAAAAAUUAGUCGGUCUCGAAGCAAACGGAGUGAAGCAUGUUAUUUA